GACGAACGCUGGCGGCGUGCCUAAUACAUGCAAGUAGAACGCUGAAGGAGGAGCUUGCUUCUCUGGAUGAGUUGCGAACGGGUGAGUAACGCGUAGGUAACCUGCCUGGUAGCGGGGGAUAACUAUUGGAAACGAUAGCUAAUACCGCAUAAGAGUAGAUGUCGCAUGACAUUUGCUUAAAGGUGCAAUUGCAUCACUACCAGAUGGACCUGCGUUGUAGUAGCUAGUUGGUGAGGUAACGGCUCACCAAGGCAACGAUACAUAGCCGACCUGAGAGGGUGAUCGGCCACACUGGGACUGAGACACGGCCCAGACUCCUACGGGAGGCAGCAGUAGGGAAUCUUCGGCAAUGGACGGAAGUCUGACCGAGCAACGCCGCGUGAGUGAAGAAGGUUUUCGGAUCGUAAAGCUCUGUUGUAAGAGAAGAACGAGUGUGAGAGUGGAAAGUUCACACUGUGACGGUAUCUUACCAGAAAGGGACGGCUAACUACGUG
rnacentral:rRNA from 1 species